AUAGCUGAGGAAAAAGAAACCAACAGGGAUUGCUCUAGUAACGGCGAGUGAAGCAGCAAUAGCUCAAAUUUGAAAUCUGGCGUCUUCGGCGUCCGAGUUGUAAUUUGUAGAGGAUGCUUCUGAGUAACCACCGACCUAAGUUCCUUGGAACAGGACGUCAUAGAGGGUGAGAAUCCCGUAUGCGGUCGGAAAGGUGCUCUACACGUAGCUCCUUCGACGAGUCGAGUUGUUUGGGAAUGCAGCUCUAAAUGGGAGGUAAAUUUCUUCUAAAGCUAAAUAUUGGCCAGAGACCGAUAGCGCACAAGUAGAGUGAUCGAAAGAUGAAAAGCACUUUGGAAAGAGAGUUAAAAAGCACGUGAAAUUGUUAAAAGGGAAGGGAUUGCAACCAGACUUGCUCGCGGUGUUCCGCCGGUCUUCUGACCGGUCUACUCGCCGCGUUGCAGGCCAGCAUCGUCUGGUGCCGCUGGAUAAGACUUGAGGAAUGUAGCUCCCUCGGGAGUGUUAUAGCCUCUUGUGAUGCAGCGAGCGCCGGGCGAGGUCCGCGCUUCGGCUAGGAUGCUGGCGUAAUGGUCGUAAUCCGCCCGUCUGAA
rnacentral:rRNA from 1 species